rnacentral:lncRNA from 1 species
AGGAGACAAAGCUGCGCAUUCAAUUAGAUCUCAUUUCUCCCUCAUUUCAAAAGUUUAAAAAAAAUUGUGAGGAGGAGAUAAAGUUUUUCUUCAUGCACCUGCUACAUAUAUCAUACUUCCUCUCUCUCUCUCAUGUUGAUUCAUACACUAUAAUCCUCUUUUCACUAUUCACAAAAUACUCACACCAAAAUAUAUAUAACUUUCUCAUCAACCACUAACAAUAUAUCAACAUCUCUCACCAAAACCAUACAUCUUCUUCCUCACACAGACUCAAUAAUACAUGCUUUCAAAAUAAAAGAAAACAAAGAAUAACAAAAGAAGUAUAAAGCUUGAAGAAAAUUUUGGCUUUCUUCCUUCUAAUACAACUCUAAGCACAACUCAUACUUCAAAACUCAGAAGCUCCACCAUCUCAUUUUCGGUUAUCAUCCACAAAUUUCUUGCAUCGCUUUUUUUUCUCUUUAUUUCGGUAUUCUUCUUAUUUGAUAUUUUUAUUUUAUGUUGAUAUUCAUUUGCUUUAGGAUUUGAUUUGUUUUUAAAAAAAAUCUGUAAAUAACUAUUGAGUUUGUUGUUGUUCAUAGAGUAUGAGUUAGUUUGUAAAAUAAUAGAAGAUAGUUUUCUUUAUUUUCAAAAUAAAGAAGCAUGAAAUGGAAGAAAGUUUGAUUGUUAGUUUUGUAGAUGAUUUUUUUUUGUUGAAAAGAAAACUUAUCUCGAGUAAUUCUUACCGCUAUUGUGUAUGCUACAUGGUAUUUUAUUUUUUAUUUAUUUAAAGUCAUGAUAUGUGUCAAUUUGUUAUUGGGGGUUGUUAAACUUUGAAAAAAUAAGAAUUUGAAUAAGUGGGGCGCUGCUUUUGUUUUCUCUUGUUAUUUUUUAAAUUCUUUAUUUUAAUUAUUAUGAUAUUUGUUUUGUUUUUUAGAUUAGUUUUUUAAUAUAAAAUUUGUUUCAUUUUAGAUUAGAGUUUAAUAAUUUUUAUUAUUUUUAGAUUAGAGUUUAAUAAUUUUUUUUUAAAUUUUUAGGGUAGAG